AUAAACAGUUUCGCAUUGUAAUGGAAGCUCUGGAUAUUGUUCAUGUUAGCAAAGAGGAUCAAGAAAGUGUAUUUAAAAUGCUCACUGCAGUUUUGUGGUUGGGGAAUGUCUCCUUUACAGUGAUUGAUAAUGAAAACCAUGUUGAACCUGUGGCAGAUGAAGGUAACAAUCUACUAAAAAGAUAAAGUUUAACAGUUGCAUGGUUGUUUUGUUCAUUUGAUUUGUUGUUAUUUAUUUUGCUUGUAGGUGGAUUAUUGGCUGUAGGUAGCAACACUCCUAUUUGAAUGAACAAUCCUAUUUAUUGCAGUUUGGACAUACGAAUCCAUACUAGCCCUCCUUGAGCCUGUUGCUCUUGAGUAUGACCCCAUGCACCUCAGUUCAAGGGUUCAAAUGCUAGUGAUGGAUUGCUAAAAUUGGACAUGGCAAUCCUUGUUGCAGUGAAGAGGAAUCUCUUGACAACGUGGUAGUUGAACUCUACAAGAGAUCUGGUAGAAUUGAAGAACAGAUUGAAAUGCCUCAACAUUAAAGUGAAGACUAUUUUUGGAAGAACAGGUUAUUGGGGAACUUGGCCUGGGCAUACUUACAGCAAAAUAAUGUUUUGGAUUUCAAUGACUUCAAUCCUUCCACUCUUGAUAAUGUUCAUGCGUUCCUUGGACAAAAAGUCUCUUUGCAGCUCAUAGUUUAGUCAAUGCGGACCCUACUGAAUGAUUCAUAUCUGGAAAGUUACAUUAGCACUAUUGGAGUUGACUUCAAAAUCCACACAGUUGAGCAGGAUGGAAAACCAUUAAACUCCAGAUUAUCGCCUAUUUUCAGCGGAAGCGACUGAAGGAGCUGUUAAGUUAUACAUAGAAAAGAUAGCUAUAUCUGUCAGUGGUGCUGCCCAUGGUGGUUCUAGUGGAACUCGUUUAGGGUUUGUUCAUAUUAAUGGUGUUUCAGACUUAGCAUCUGUAAAGUAUGCUAUGUUGCCUAUUGCAUUUAAUCAUGCUGAUAAAGCACAAACUAUGUCAGCUUAUUAUGAGUUUGUGCUUGUGUUAUGGUUAUGAUUUAUUAGUAAAAGUCAUGAUUUGUACUACCAAAAGUUAUGACUUGUUAUGGUGAAUCAUAAUAAAAAAUGUUACGACUCAAA